UCCCUUGUGGUCUAGUGGUUAGGAUUCAGCAUUCUCACUGCUGGGACCUGGGUUCAAUCCCUGGUCUGGGAG
rnacentral:tRNA from 1 species